GACGAACGCUGGCGGCGUGCUUAACACAUGCAAGUCGAACGGUAAGGCCCUUCGGGGUACACGAGUGGCGAACGGGUGAGUAACACGUGGGUGAUCUGCCCUGCACUUCGGGAUAAGCUUGGGAAACUGGGUCUAAUACCGGAUAGGACCAUGGACUUCACGGUUUGUGGUGGAAAGCUUUUGCGGUGUGGGAUGGGCCCGCGGCCUAUCAGCUUGUUGGUGGGGUAAUGGCCUACCAAGGCGACGACGGGUAGCCGGCCUGAGAGGGUGUCCGGCCACACUGGGACUGAGAUACGGCCCAGACUCCUACGGGAGGCAGCAGUGGGGAAUAUUGCACAAUGGGCGCAAGCCUGAUGCAGCGACGCCGCGUGA
rnacentral:rRNA from 1 species